GCUCAGUCACUAGAGCAUGAGACUCUUAAUCUCAGGAUCGUGGGUUCCUAUCCCAC
rnacentral:tRNA from 1 species